AUCGAGCUGACGAGUCCCAAAUAGGAUGAGAGGCUCGUCCUGGAU
rnacentral:hammerhead_ribozyme from 1 species